UAUUCCCUUAAAAAGAAUGCAAUUUUUUUUUUGCAAGUAACUUUUUUGUUUUUGUUCUUAUGAAAAUCUUGACUAUGGAAAAUUUGAGGAAGCGUGGGUCUAUUGUAAUGUAUUGGUGCCAUAUGUGUAAAAUAAAGUGGUGAAGCUUUAGCUUAUUUCUUACUUAACCGUGCGGUGGCAAGAAUCUUAUGGGAUGAGAUUUUUAGCUGGACCAAUCUUGCAUGGGUGACAUUUAGGAGGGUGGUGGAUCUUUUUGUUUGCUGGAGAGGCCUCCAUGGCAAACCCCAACUUGGUUGAGCUUAGAAGUUUCUUUUCCACACCUUAUUUUUUUGGGUUUCUGCUACUGCAUUCAAUGGGGCUAGCUGUCAUGACUUUCUUAUAUCAAUUUCUUGCUCCUUUAGGCUACAUCUAUUUACUUGAUUCAAUAAAAAAGUUUGUGCUUUCUCUUUAAAAUCCUUCAAGAACAGCUUUGUUUAUCUUUUUUCACUUAAUAAUGUUUUCAUUGCAUGACCAUUUUAGGACAUGGUAGUUUUCAUUCUUAACUCUUCUGAUCUAGAGUUCCCAUAGCACUUUUAUUUUCUCAUGUCACUUCAUUUAGUAACUCUAGUUUACAAACUAUGUACUAAUAUUGCUAGACUUUUAUACAUGGUCUAAGCAGCAAACAUGGUACCACUCUUGGAAAAGUUGCUCUAGGAGAAUACGUCAAUCUUGGCUGCUAAAUAAUCUCCAUAAGAUAUUUGCUCCCUCCAAUGUGGUAGACUGCUGUUAAACCCAUAUUGCGUAUUUAUAGCAACUAUAAAGGAAAGAGCCAAACAAAAGAAAAAAGAAUAAAAAGGGCCUCCAAAGAUAAGGUGGCUCUCCAGGUGUCACAGUCCAUAAGAAUGUUGUAAUGGUAACCAUGUUAUCCUGUUUUUCUUGACAUCACUGAUUUCUUCUGUUGGAACUUGGAACCUCCUUUGCUUGAUUGUAGGUUGGAUAAGCUUUAUAGUAGAGGCUGUUACCAAUUUAAAGGAACUGAGGGGUUCUGACAGGGCUGCAAUUGCUUUGUACAUAGAGAUGAUGGAAUUUCAUGUAGCAAGAGUACCGAACGUGCAUUGGGUCCAUCACUGUACUGGUGCAGCUCCAUCUUCAGCCAAUGUCUAUAACUGUAAAUAUGGCUAGGCUUGUAAAUGUGGGAAAUGGGAGAUUGAUAUGUGAAUUGUGUUUGCUAUUUUUGGGAUCAUUAUGUUAAAAGUUCAUAGAUUUUUCCAAAUUUUGGAACUGAAGUGAGAGAAGUAAAAGGCCACCAAAAUAAUUACAUAUAGGGACUUCAGUUGCCAAGUUAAAUAUGUAUUUCAGAUGUCCUUGCGACUGUCAUUUUAACCAAUGGAAGAGUAAAUGAAGAAAAGAAUCAUUUUCAA